rnacentral:rRNA from 1 species
UACGUAGGGUGCAAGCGUUAAUCGGAAUUACUGGGCGUAAAGCGUGCGCAGGCGGUUUUGUAAGUCUGUCGUGAAAGCCCCGGGCUCAACCUGGGAAUUGCGUUGGAGACUGCAAGGCUAGAAUCUGGCAGAGGGGGGUAGAAUUCCACGUGUAGCAGUGAAAUGCGUAGAGAUGUGGAGGAACACCGAUGGCGAAGGCA